GUGACCACCGGCAUCGAAAAAAUGGCAAAAAUAGAGGUUCUUCCACAAUAAAAUUCGGCGACUCCGGUCGCCGGCGAGCGUGCACACAGGCAUGAAAAGGAAAGGGGAGAAGGGAGGAAGGGGAGGAAAGCUUACCUCGGCCUCCGAUGGUCCCGCCGGCGAGAAAUCGCGGUGAGCACGAUCAAGGGCCGCGGCUUCAAUCAGAGGAAUUAGGGAGGAAA
rnacentral:lncRNA from 1 species